UACGGAGGGAGCUAGCGUUGUUCGGAAUUACUGGGCGUAAAGCGCACGUAGGCGGCUUUGUAAGUUAGAGGUGAAAGCCCGGGGCUCAACCCCGGAAUUGCCUUUAAGACUGCAUCGCUUGAAUCCGGGAGAGGUGAGUGGAAUUCCGAGUGUAGAGGUGAAAUUCGUAGAUAUUCGGAAGAACACCAGUGGCGAAGGCGGCUCACUGGACCGAUAUUGACGCUGAGGUGCGAAAGCGUGGGGAGCAAACAGG
rnacentral:rRNA from 1 species